AGUAAUAAAUCGAUUCUACCUAAGACGCAGGUGUCGUAAGACUUAAUAACCCGCCGAGGAAGUGAAAAACGCGUAAGCGACUUUUGACCCCCGGUGCAGUAUGUGCUGGGGGUCUUUUGGUACGAAU
rfam:Weissella confusa LBAE C39-2, WGS project CAGH01000000 data, contig: WeissC39_1_contig00003